UUUGGGGCUAGGGUAAGGUUGAAGGUUUUUGGCGUUAGGGUUAAAAUCACUGUCCAAAACCUUUUUAGGAACAUGUUUCAGGACUUUUUGGAGUUAGUUAGACCAAAAAAAAAAACAAAAAAUAAUAAUAAAAUUUUUUUGGGGGUGGUAGGGCUUCCUUUAGGUAAUAACCGGGUAUUAGGUUUUGGGGCUAGGGUAAGGUUUAAGUUUUUUGGCGUGAGGGUUAAAAUCACUGUCCAAAACCUUUGUAGGAACUCUUUUCCAACCCUUUCGGAGUUAGUUAGACCAAAAAAAAAAACGAAAAAUGAAAAAAAAAUAUUUGGGGUUUUCGGGCUUCCUGAAGGUAAUACCCGGGUAUUAGGUUAUGGGCUAGGGUGAGGUUUAAGGUUUUUGGAGUUAGAGUUAAAAUUACUGUCCAAAACCUUUUUAGGAACAUGUUUCAGACCUUUUGGAAUUAGUUAGACCAAAAAAUAACGAAAAAUGAAAAAAAAAAAAAUUUGGGGUGUUCGGCCUUCCUGAAGGUAAUACCCCGGUAUUAGGUUUUGGGGCUAGGGUAAGGUUUAAGGUUUUUGGCGUUAGGGUUAAAAUCACUGUCCAAAACCUUUGUAGGAACUCUUUUCCAACCUUUUGGAGUUAGUUAGACCAAAAAAAAACCAAAAAUGAAAAAAAAAAUAUUUGGGGUCUUCGGGGUUCCUGAAGGUAAUACCCGGGUAUAGGGUUUUUGGGCUAGGGUAAGGUUUAAGGUUUUUGGCGUUAGGGUUAAAAUCACUGUCCAAAACCUUUGUAGGAACUCUUUUCCAACCAUUUGGAGUUAGUUAGACCAAAAAAAAUGAUUAAUUAAAAAAAAAAUAUUUGGGGUGUUCGGGCUUCCUUAUUAGUAUUAGUUUAUGGGGCUUUGGAAAGGUUUAAGGUUUUUGGCAUUAGGGUUAAAAUCACUGUCCAAAACCUUUAUAGGAACUCUUUUCCAACCUUUUGGAGUUAGUUAGACCAAAAAAAAAUGAAAAAGGAAAAAAAAAAUGGGGGUUUUCGGGCUUCCUGAAGGUAAUACCCGGGUAUUAGGUUAUGAGGCUUUGGAAAGGUUUAAGGUUUUUGGCGUUAGGGUUAAAAUCACUGUCCAAAACCUUUGUAGGAACUCUUUUCCAACCUUUUGGAGUUAGUUAGACCAAAAAAAAAGAAAAAAGAAAAAAAAAUAUUUGGCGUCUUCGGGCUUCCUGAAGGUAAUACCCGAGUGUCAGGUUUUGGGGCUAGGGUAAGGUUUAAGGUUUUUGGCGUUAGGGUUAAAAUCACUGUCCAAAAUCUUUGUAAGAACUCUUUUCCAACCUUUUGGAGUUAGUAAGACCAAAAAAAAAAGAACAAAGAAAAAAAAAAUUGGGGGUUUUCGGGCUUCCUGAUGGUAUUACCCGGGUAUUAGGUUUUGGGGCUAGGGUAAGGUUUAAGGUAUUUGGCGUUAGGGUUAAAAUCACUGUCCAAAACCUUUGUAGGAACUCUAUUCAAACCUUUUGGAGUUAGUUAGACAAGAAAAAAAGGAAAAAUGAAAAAAAUAUAUUUGUGGUUUUCAGCCUUCCUGAAGGUAAUACCCGGGUAUUAGGUUUUGGGGCUAGGGUAAGGUUUAAGGUUUUUGGCGUUAGAGUUAAAAUCACUGUCCAAAAAGUUUAUAGGAACUCUUUUCCAACCUUUUGGAGUUAGUUAGACCAAAAAAAAUAAAAAUAAAAAAUAUAUAUUUGGGGUGAUCGGGCUUCCUGAAGGUAAUACCUGGGUAUUAGGUUAUGGGGCUAGGGUAAGUUUGAAGGUUUUUGGCGUUAGGGUUAAAAUCACUGUCCAAAACCUUUGUAGGAACUCUUUUCCAAACUUUUGGAAUGAGUUAGACCAAAAAAAAAUGAAAAAUGAAAAAAACAUAUUUGGGGUGUUCGUGCUUCCUGAAGGUAAUACCCGAGUAUUAGGUUAUGGGGCUUUGGAAACGUUAAAGGUUUUUGGCGUUAGGGGUUAAAAUCACUGCCAAAACCUUUGUAGGAACUCUAUUCAAACCUUUUGGAGUUAGACCAAAAAAAAAUGAAAAUGAAAAAAAAAAUAUUUGGGGUGUUCGGGCUUCCUGAAGGUAAUACCUGGUUUAGGGUAUGGGGCUAGGGUAAGGUUUAAGGUUUUUUGGCGUUAGGGUUAAAAUCACUGUCCAAAACCUUUGUAGGAACUCUUUUCCAACCUUUUGGAGUUAGUUAGACCAAAAAAAAAUGAAAAAUUAAAAAAAAAUAUUUCGGGUUUUCAGUCUUCCUUAAGGUAAUACCCGGCUAUUAGGUAAUGGGGCUAUGGUAAGGUUUAAGGUUUUUGGCGUUAGGGUUAAAAUCACUGUCCAAAACCUUUGUAGGAACUCUUUUCCAACCUUUUGGAGUGAGUUAGACCAAAAAACAAAUGAAAAAUAAAAAUAAAAUAUAUAUAUUUGGGGUGUUCGGGCUUCCUGAAGGUAAUACCCGGGUAUAAGGUUAUGGGGCUAGGGUAAGGUUUAAGGUUUUUGGUGUUAGGGUUAAAAUCACUGUCCAAAACCUUUGUAGGAACUCUUUUCCAACCUUUUGGAGUUAGUUAGACCAAAAAAAAUGAAAAUGAAAAAAAAAUAUUUGGGGUGUUCGGGCUUCCUGAAGGUAAUACCCGGGUAUCAGGUUUUGGGGCUAGGUUAAGGUUUAAGGUUUUUGGCGUGAGGGUUAAAAUCACUGUGCAAAACCUUUGUAGGAACUCUUUUCAAACCUUUUGGAAUUAGUUAGACCAAAAAAAAAUAAAAAAUGAAAAAAAAAUAUUUGUGGUUUUCGGGCCUCCUGAAGGUAAUACCCGGGUAUAAGGUUUUGGGGCUAGGUUAAGGUUUAAGGUUUUUGGCGUUAGGGUUAAAAUCACUGUCCAAAACCUUUGUAGGAACUCUUUUCCAACCUUUUGGAGUUAGCUAGACCAAAAAAAAAAUGAAAAAUGAAAAAUAAAAAUGGGGGUUUUCGGGCUUCCUGAAGGUAAUACCCGGGUAUCAGGUUAUGGGGCUAGGGUAAAGUUAAAGGUUUUUGGCGUUAGGGUUAAAAUCACUGUCCAAAACCUCUGUAGGAACUCUUUUCCAACCUUUUGGAAUUAGUUAGACCAAAAAAAAAAGAAAAAUGGAAAAAACAUAUUUGGGGUGUUCGGGCUUCCUGAAGGUAAUACCCGGGUAUUAGGUUUUGGGGCUUUGGAAACGUUUGAGUCUUUCGGCGUUAGGGUAAAAAUCACUGUCCAAAACCUUUGUAGGAACUCUAUUCAAACCUUUUGGAGUUAGUAAGACCAAAAAAAAUAAAAAUAAAAAUUUUUAUUUGGGGUGUUCGGGCUUCCUGAAGGUAAUACCCGGGUAUUAGGUUAUGGGGCUAGGGUAAGGUUGAAGGUUUUUGGCGUUAGGAUUAAAAUCACUGUCCAAAACCUUUUUAGGAACAUGUUUCAGACCUUUUGGAGUUAGUAAGACCAAAAAAAAAAGAACAAAGAAAAAAAAAAAUUGGGGGUUUUUGGGCUUCCUGAUGGUAAUACCCGGGUAUUAGGUUUUGGGGCUAGGGUAAGGUUUAAGGUAUUUGGCGUUAGGGUUAAAAUCACUGUCCAAAAUCUUUGUAGGAACUCUAUUCAAACCUUUUGGAGUUAGUUAGACCAUAAAAAUGUAAAAUGAAAAAAAUAUUUGAGGUUUUCGGGUUUCCUGAAGGUAAUACCCGGGUAUUUGGUUAUGGGGCUAUGGUUAGGUUUAAGGUUUUUGGCGUUAGGGUUAAAAUCACUGUCCAAAACCUUUGUAGGAACUCUUUUCCAACCUUUUGGAGUUAUUUAGACCAAAAAAAAAUGAAAAAUUAAAAAAAAAUAUUUCGGGUUUUCAGUCUUCCUUAAGGUAAUACCCGGCUAUUAGGUAAUGGGGCUAUGGUAAGGUUUAAGGUUUUUGGCGUGAGGGUUAAAAUCACUGUCCAAAACCUUUGUAGGAACUCUUUUCCAACCUUUUGGAGUGAGUUAUACCAAAAAACAAAUGAAAAAUAAAAAUAAAAUAUAUAUAUUUGGGGUGUUCGGGCUUCCUGAAGGUAAUACCCGGGUAUAAGGUUAUGGGGCUAGGGUAAGGUUUAAGGUUUUUGGUGUUAGGGUUAAAAUCACUGUCCAAAACCUUUGUAGGAACUCUUUUCCAACCUUUUGGAGUUAGUUAGACCAAAAAAAAUGAAAAAUGAAAAAAAAAUAUUUGGGGUGUUCGGGCUUCCUGAAGGUAAUACCCGGGUAUCAGGUUUUGGGGCUAGGUUAAGGUUUAAGGUUUUUGGCGUGAGGGUUAAAAUCACUGUGCAAAACCUUUGUAGGAACUCUUUUCCAACCUUUUGGAAUUAGUUAGACCAAAAAAAAAUAAAAAAUGAAAAAAAAAUAUUUGUGGUUUUCGGGCCUCCUGAAGGUAAUACCCGGGUAUAAGGUUUUGGGGCUAGGUUAAGGUUUAAGGUUUUUGGCGUUAGGGUUAAAAUCACUGUCCAAAACCUUUAUAAGAACUCUUAUCCAACCUUUUGGAUUUAGUUUGACCAAAAAAAAAGAAAAAUGAAAAUAAAAUAUUUGGGGUGUUCGGGCUUCCUGAAGGUAAUACCCGGGUAUUAGGUUAUGGGGCUAGGGUAAGGUUUAAGGUUUUUGGCGUGAGGGUUAAAAUCACUGUCCAAAACCUUUUUAGGAACAUGUUUCAGACCUUUUGGAAUUAGUUAGACCAAAAAAAAAACGAAAAAUGGAAAAAAAAUAUUUGGGGUCUUCGGGCUUCCUGAAGGUAAUACCCGGGUAUUAGGUUUUGGGGCUAGGGUAAGGUUUAAGUUUUUUGGCGUGAGGGUUAAAAUCACUGUCCAAAACCUUUGUAGGAACUCUUUUCCAACCCUUUCGGAGUUAGUUAGACCAAAAAAAAAACGAAAAAUGAAAAAAAAAUAUUUGGGGUUUUCGGGCUUCCUGAAGGUAAUACCCGGGUAUUAGGUUAUGGGCUAGGGUAAGGUUUAAGGUUUUUGGCGUUAGAGUUAAAAUUACUGUCCAAAACCUUUUUAGGAACAUGUUUCAGACCUUUUGGAAUUAGACCAAAAAAUAACGAAAAAUGAAAAAAAAAAAAAUUUGGGUUGUUCGGCCUUCCUGAAGGUAAUACCCCGGUAUUAGGUUUUGGGGUUAGGGUAAGGUUUAAGGUUUUUGGCGUUAGGGUUAAAAUCACUGUCCAAAACCUUUGUAGGAACUCUUUUCCAACCUUUUGGAGUUAGUUAGACCAAAAAAAAACCAAAAAUGAAAAAAAAAAUAUUUGGGGUCUUCGGGGUUCCUGAAGGUAAUGCCCGGGUGUUGGGUUUUUGGGCUAGGGUAAGGUUUAAGGUUUUUGGCGUUAGGGUUAAAAUCACUGUCCAAAACCUUUGUAGGAACUCUUUUCCAACCAUUUGGAGUUAGUUAGACCAAAAAAAAUGAUUAAUUAAAAAAAAUAUAUUUGGGGUGUUCGGGCUUCCUUAUUAGUAUUAGUUUAUGGGGCUUUGGAAAGGUUUAAGGUUUUUGGCAUUAGGGUUAAAAUCACUGUCCAAAACCUUUAUAGGAACUCUUUUCCAACCUUUUGGAGUUAGUUAGACCAAAAAAAAAAAUGAAAAAGGAAAAAAAAAUUGGGGGUUUUCGGGCUUCCUGAAGGUAAUACCCGGGUAUAAGGUUAUGGGGCUAGGGUAAGGUUUAAGGUUUUUGGUGUUAGGGUUAAAAUCACUGUCCAAAACCUUUGUAGGAACUCUUUUCCAACCUUUUGGAGUUAGUUAGACCAAAAAAAAUGAAAAAUGAAAAAAAAAUAUUUGGGGUGUUCGGGCUUCCUGAAGGUAAUACCCGGGUAUCAGGUUUUGGGGCUUUGGAAACGUUUGAGUCUUUCGGCGUUAGGGUAAAAAUCACUGUCCAAAACCUUUGUAGGAACUCUUUUCCAACCUUUUGGAGUUAGUAAGACAAAAAAAAAUAAAAAUAAAAAUUUUUAUUUGGGGUGUUCGGGCUUCCUGAAGGUAAUACCCGGGUAUUAGGUUAUGGGGCUAGGGUAAGGUUUAAGGUUUUUGGCGUUAGGAUUAAAAUCACUGUCCAAAACCUUUUUAGGAACAUGUUUCAGACCUUUUGGAGUUAGUAAGACCAAAAAAAAAAGAACAAAGAAAAAAAAAAAUUGGGGGUUUUCUGGCUUCCUGAUGGUAAUACCCGGGUAUUAGGUUUUGGGGCUAGGGUAAGGUUUAAGGUAUUUGGCGUUAGGGUUAAAAUCACUGUCCAAAACCUUUGUAGGAACUCUAUUCAAACCUUUUGGAGUUAGUUAGACCAUAAAAAUGUAAAAUGAAAAAAAUAUUUGAGGUUUUCGGGUUUCCUGAAGGUAAUACCCGGGUAUUUGGUUAUGGGGCUAUGGUUAGGUUUAAGGUUUUUGGCGUUAGGGUUAAAAUAACUGUCCAAAACCUUUGUAGGAACUCUUUUCCAACCUUUUGGAGUUAUUUAGACCAAAAAAAAAUGAAAAAUGAAAAAAAAAUAUUUGGGGUUUUCAGUCUUCCUGAAGGUAAUACCCGGCUAUUAGGUAAUGGGGCUAUGGUAAGGUUUAAGGUUUUUGGCGUUAGGGUUAAAAUCACUGUCCAAAACCUUUGUAGGAACUCUUUUCCAACCUUUUGGAGUGAGUUAGACCAAAAAACAAAUGAAAAAUAAAAAUAAAAUAUAUAUAUUUGGGGUGUUCGGGCUUCCUGAAGGUAAUACCCGGGUAUAAGGUUAUGGGGCUAGGGUAAGGUUUAAGGUUUUUGGUGUUAGGGUUAAAAUCACUGUCCAAAACCUUUGUAGGAACUCUUUUCCAACCUUUUGGAGUUAGUUAGACCAAAAAAAAUGAAAAAUGAAAAAAAAAUAUUUGGGGUGUUCGGGCUUCCUGAAGGUAAUACCCGGGUAUCAGGUUUUGGGGCUAGGUUAAGGUUUAAGAUAUUUGGGUUAGGGUUAAAAUCACUGUCCAAAACCUUUGUAGGAACUCUAUUCAAACCUUUUGGAGUUAGUUAGACCAUAAAAAUGUAAAAUGAAAAAAAUAUUUGAGGUUUUCGGGUUUCCUGAAGGUAAUACCCGGGUAUUUGGUUAUGGGGCUAUGGUUAGGUUUAAGGUUUUUGGCGUUAGGGUUAAAAUCACUGUCCAAAACCUUUGUAGGAACUCUUUUCCAACCUUUUGGAGUUAUUUAGACCAAAAAAAAAUGAAAAAUUAAAAAAAAAUAUUUCGGGUUUUCAGUCUUCCUUAAGGUAAUACUCGGCUAUUAGGUAAUGGGGCUAUGGUAAGGUUUAAGGUUUUUGGCGUUAGGGUUAAAAUCACUGUCCAAAACCUUUGUAGGAACUCUUUUCCAACCUUUUGGAGUGAGUUAGACCAAAAAACAAAUGAAAAAUAAAAAUAAAAUAUAUAUAUUUGGGGUGUUCGGGCUUCCUGAAGGUAAUACCCGGGUAUAAGGUUAUGGGGCUAGGGUAAGGUUUAAGGUUUUUGGCGUUUGGGUUAAAAUCAGUGUCCAAAACCUUUGUAGGAACUCAUUUCCAACCUUUUGGAGUUAGACCAAAAAAAAAUGAAAAAUGAAAAAAAUAUAUUUGGGUUGUUUGUACUUCCUGACGGUAAUUCCCGGGUAUUAGGUUAUGGGGCUAGGGUAAGGUUUAAGGUUUUUGGCGUGAGGGUUAAAAUCACUGUCCAAAACCUUUGUAGGAACUCUUUUCCAACCUUUUGGAGUUAGUUAGACCAAAAAAAAAGAUUAAAGAAAAAAAAAUAGUUGGGGAUUUCGCGCUUCCUGAAGGUAAUACCCGGGUAUUAGGUUAUGGGGCUAUGGUAAGGUUUAAGGUUUUUAGUGUUAGGGUUAAAAUCACUGUCCAAAACCUUUGUAGGAACUCUUUUCCAACCUUUUGGAGUUAGUUAGACCAAAAAAAAACGAAAAAUGAAAUAAAUUUUUUUUUGGGGUGUAAAGGGUUCCUGAAGGUAACACCCUUGUAUUAGGUUAUGGGGCUAGGGUAAGGUUUAAGGUUUUUUGGCGUUAGAGUUAAAAUUACUGUCCAAAACCUUUAUACGAACUCUUUUCCAACCUUUUGGAGUAAGUUAGACCAAAAAAAAAUGAAAAAUGAAAAAAAAAUAUUUGUGGUUUUCGGGCCUCCUGAAGGUAAUACCCGGGUAUCAGGUUUUGGGGCUAGGUUAAGGUUUAAGGUUUUUGGCGUUAGGGUUAAAAUCACUGUCCAAAACCUCUAUACGAACUCUUUUCCAACCUUUUGGAUUUAGUUUGACCAAAAAAAAAAGAAAAAUGAAAAUAAAAUAUUUGGGGUGUUCGGGCUUCCUGAAGGUAAUACCCCGGUAUUAGGUUUUGGGGCUAGGGUAAGGUUUAAGUUUUUUGGCGUGAGGGUUAAAAUUACUGUCCAAAACCUUUUUAGGAACAUGUUUCAGACCUUUUGGAAUUAGUUAGACCAAAAAAUAACGAAAAAUGAAAAAAAAAAAAUUGGGGGUGUUCGGCCUUCCUGAAGGUAAUACCCCGGUAUUAGGUUUUGGGGCUAGGGUAAGGUUUAAGGUUUUUGGCGUUAGGGUUAAAAUCACUGUCCAAAACCUUUUUAGGAACUUGUUUCAGACCUUUUGGAGUUGGUUAAACCAAAAAAAAAUGUAAAAUGAAAAAAAAAUAUUUGGGGUGUUCAGGCUUCCUGAAGGUAAUACCCGGGUAUAAGCUUUUGGGGCUAGGGUAAGGUUUAAGGUUUUUGGUGUUAGGGUUAAAAUCACUGUCCAAAACCUUUGUAGGAACUCUUUUCAAACCUUUUGGAGUUAGUUAGACCAAAAAAAAAAUGUAAAAUGAAAAAAAAAACAUAUUUGGGGUGUUCGGGCUUCCUGAAGUUAAUACCCGGGUAUUAGGUUAUGGGGCUUUGGAAAGGUUUAAGGUUUUUGGCGUUAGGGUUAAAAUCACUGUCCAAAACCUUUGUAGGAACUCUAUUCAAACCUUUUGGAAUUAGUUAGACCAAAAAAAAAUAAAAAAUGAAAAAUAAAAAUGGGGGUUUUCGGGCUUCCUGAAGGUAAUAUCCGGGUAUCAGGUUUUGGGGCUAGGGUAAAGUUAAAGGUUUUUGGCGUUAGGGUUAAAAUCACUGUCAAAAACCUCUGUAGGAACUCUUUUCCAACCUUUUGGAAUUAGUUAGACAAAAAAAAAAGAAAAAUGGAAAAAACAUAUUUGGGGUGUUCGGGCUUCCUGAAGGUAAUACCCGGGUAUUAGGUUUUGGGGCUUUGGAAACGUUUGAGUCUUUCGGCGUUAGGGUAAAAAUCACCGUCCAAAACCUUUGUAGGAACUCUUUUCCAACCUUUUGGAGUUAGUAAGACCAAAAAAAAUAAAAAUAAAAAUUUUUAUUUGGGGUGUUCGGGCUUCCUGAAGGUAAUACCCGGGUAUUAGGUUAUGGGGCUAGGGUAAGGUUUAAGGUUUUUGGCGUUAGGAUUAAAAUCACUGUCCAAAACCUUUUUAGGAACAUGUUUCAGACCUUUUGGAGUUAGUAAGACCAAAAAAAAAAGAACAAAGAAAAAAAAAAAUUGGGGGUUUUCGGGCUUCCUGAUGGUAAUACCCGGGUAUUAGGUUUUGGGGCUAGGGUAAGGUUUAAGGUAUUUGGCGUUAGGGUUAAAAUCACUGUCCAAAACCUUUGUAGGAACUCUAUUCAAACCUUUUGGAGUUAGUUAGACCAUAAAAAUGUAAAAUGAAAAAAAUAUUUGAGGUUUUCGGGUUUCCUGAAGGUAAUACCCGGGUAUUUGGUUAUGGGGCUAUGGUUAGGUUUAAGGUUUUUGGCGUUAGGGUUAAAAUCACUGUCCAAAACCUUUGUAGGAACUCUUUUCCAACCUUUUGGAGUUAUUUAGACCAAAAAAAAAUGAAAAAUUAAAAAAAAAUAUUUCGGGUUUUCAGUCUUCCUUAAGGUAAUACCCGGCUAUUAGGUAAUGGGGCUAUGGUAAGGUUUAAGGUUUUUGGCGUUAGGGUUAAAAUCACUGUCCAAAACCUUUGUAGGAACUCUUUUCCAACCUUUUGGAGUGAGUUAGACCAAAAAACAAAUGAAAAAUAAAAAUAAAAUAUAUAUAUUUGGGGUGUUCGGGCUUCCUGAAGGUAAUACCCGGGUAUAAGGUUAUGGGGCUAGGGUAAGGUUUAAGGUUUUUGGUGUUAGGGUUAAAAUCACUGUCCAAAACCUUUGUAGGAACUCUUUUCCAACCUUUUGGAGUUAGUUAGACCAAAAAAAAUGAAAAAUGAAAAAAAAAUAUUUGGGGUGUUCGGGCUUCCUGAAGGUAAUACCCGGGUAUCAGGUUUUGGGGCUAGGUUAAGGUUUAAGAUAUUUGGUGUUAGGGUUAAAAUCACUGUCCAAAACCUUUGUAGGAACUCUAUUCAAACCUUUUGGAGUUAGUUAGACCAUAAAAAUGUAAAAUGAAAAAAAUAUUUGAGGUUUUCGGGUUUCCUGAAGGUAAUACCCGGGUAUUUGGUUAUGGGGCUAUGGUUAGGUUUAAGGUUUUUGGCGUUAGGGUUAAAAUCACUGUCCAAAACCUUUGUAGGAACUCUUUUCCAACCUUUUGGAGUUAUUUAGACCAAAAAAAAAUGAAAAAUUAAAAAAAAAUAUUUCGGGUUUUCAGUCUUCCUUAAGGUAAUACUCGGCUAUUAGGUAAUGGGGCUAUGGUAAGGUUUAAGGUUUUUGGCGUUAGGGUUAAAAUCACUGUCCAAAACCUUUGUAGGAACUCUUUUCCAACCUUUUGGAGUGAGUUAGACCAAAAAACAAAUGAAAAAUAAAAAUAAAAUAUAUAUAUUUGGGGUGUUCGGGCUUCCUGAAGGUAAUACCCGGGUAUAAGGUUAUGGGGCUAGGGUAAGGUUUAAGGUUUUUUGCGUUUGGGUUAAAAUCAGUGUCCAAAACCUUUGUAGGAACUCAUUUCCAACCUUUUGGAGUUAGACCAAAAAAAAAUGAAAAAUAAAAAAAAUAUAUUUGUGUUGUUUGUACUUCCUGACGGUAAUUCCCGGGUAUUAGGUUAUGGGGCUAGGGUAAGGUUUAAGGUUUUUGGCGUGAGGGUUAAAAUCACUGUCCAAAACCUUUGUAGGAACUCUUUUCCAACCUUUUGGAGUUAGUUAGACCAAAAAAAAAGAUUAAAGAAAAAAAAAUAGUUGGGGAUUUCGCGCUUCCUGAAGGUAAUACCCGGGUAUUAGGUUAUGGGGCUAUGGUAAGGUUUAAGGUUUUUAGUGUUAGGGUUAAAAUCACUGUCCAAAACCUUUGUAGGAACUCUUUUCCAACCUUUUGGAGUUAGUUAGACCAAAAAAAAACGAAAAAUGAAAUAAAUUUUUUUUUGGGGUGUAAAGGGUUCCUGAAGGUAACACCCUUGUAUUAGGUUAUGGGGCUAGGGUAAGGUUUAAGGUUUUUUGGCGUUAGAGUUAAAAUUACUGUCCAAAACCUUUAUACGAACUCUUUUCCAACCUUUUGGAGUAAGUUAGACCAAAAAAAAAUGAAAAAUGAAAAAAAAAUAUUUGUGGUUUUCGGGCCUCCUGAAGGUAAUACCCGGGUAUCAGGUUUUGGGGCUAGGUUAAGGUUUAAGGUUUUUGGCGUUAGGGUUAAAAUCACUGUCCAAAACCUCUAUACGAACUCUUUUCCAACCUUUUGGAUUUAGUUUGACCAAAAAAAAAAGAAAAAUGAAAAUAAAAUAUUUGGGGUGUUCGGGCUUCCUGAAGGUAAUACCCCGGUAUUAGGUUUUGGGGCUAGGGUAAGGUUUAAGUUUUUUGGCGUGAGGGUUAAAAUUACUGUCCAAAACCUUUUUAGGAACAUGUUUCAGACCUUUUGGAAUUAGUUAGACCAAAAAAUAACGAAAAAUGAAAAAAAAAAAAUUUGGGGUGUUCGGCCUUCCUGAAGGUAAUACCCCGGUAUUAGGUUUUGGGGCUAGGGUAAGGUUUAAGGUUUUUGGCGUUAGGGUUAAAAUCACUGUCCAAAACCUUUGUAGGAACUCUUUUCCAACCUUUUGGAGUUAGUUAGACCAAAAAAAAAACAAAAAUGAAAAAAAAAAUAUUUGGGGUCUUCGGGCUUCUUGAUGGUAAUACCCGGGUAUCGGGUUUUGGGGCUAGGGUAAGGUUUAAGGUUUUUGGCGUUAGGGUUAAAAUCACUGUCCAAAACCUUUGUAGGAACUCUUUUCCAACCUUUUGGAGUUAGUUAGACCAAAAAAAAAUGAUUAAUUAAAAAAAAUAUAUUUGGGGUGUUCGGGCUUCCUUAUUAGUAUUAGUUUAUGGGGCUUUGGAAAGGUUUAAGGUUUUUGGCAUUAGGGUUAAAAUCACUGUCCAAAACCUUUGUAGGAACUCUUUUCAAACCUUUUGGAGUUAGUUAGACCCAAAAAAAAAAUGAAAAAUGAAAAAAAAAUUGGGGGUUUUCGGGCUUCCUGAAGGUAAUACCCGGGUAUUAGGUUAUGAGGCUUUGCAAAGGUUUAAGGUUUUUGGCGUUAGGGUUAAAAUCACUGUCCAAAACCUUUGUAGGAACUCUUUUCCAACCUUUUGGAGUUAGUUUGACCAAAAAAUUAAAAAUGAAAUAAAUUUUUUUUGGGGUGUAAAGGCUUCCUGAAGGUAAUACCCUUGUAUUAGGUUAUGGGGCUAGGGUAAGGUUUAAGGUUUUUUGGCGUUUGGGUUGAAAUCACUGUCCAAAACCUUUGUAGAAACUCGUUUCCAACCUUUUGGAGUUAGUUAGACCAAAAAAAAAUGAAAAAUGAAAAAAAAAUAUUUGGGUUGUUCGGGCUUCCUGAAGGUAAUUCAUGUAUUAGGUUAUGGGUUUAGGGUAAGGUUUAAGGUUUUUUGCGUUUGGGUUAAAAUCAGUGUCCAAAACCUUUGUAGGAACUCGUUUCCAACCUUUUGGAGUUAGACCAAAAAAAAAUGAAAAAUGAAAAAAAUAUAUUUGGGUUGUUUGUACUUCCUGACGGUAAUUCCCGGGUAUUAGGUUAUGGGGCUAGGGUAAGGUUUAAGGUUUUUGGCGUGAGGGUUAAAAUCACUGUCCAAAACCUUUGUAGGAACUCUUUUCCAACCUUUUGGAGUUAGUUAGACCAAAAAAAAAGAUUAAAGAAAAAAAAAUAGUUGGGGAUUUCGCGAUUCCUGAAGGUAAUACCCGGGUAUUAGGUUAUGGGGCUAUGGUAAGGUUUAAGGUUUUUAGUGUUAGGGUUAAAAUCACUGUCCAAAACCUUUGUAGGAACUCUUUUCCAACCUUUUGGAGUUAGUUAGACAAGAAAAAAAGGAAAAAUGAAAAAACAAUAUUUGUGGUUUUCGGGCUUCCUGAAGGUAAUACUAUUAUUAGUAUUAUUAUAGUAAAAAUAGUAUUAUUACUAUUAUAAGUAUUAGGUUUUGGGGCUAGGGUAAGGUUGAAGGUUUUUGGCGUUAGGGUUAAAAUCACUGUCCAAAACCUUUUUAGGAACAUGUUUCAGGACUUUUUGGAGUUAGUUAGACCAAAAAAAAAAACAAAAAAUAAUAAUAAAAAUUUUUUGGGGGUGGUAGGGCUUCCUUUAGGUAAUAACCGGGUAUUAGGUUUUGGGGCUAGGGUAAGGUUUAAGUUUUUUGGCGUGAGGGUUAAAAUCACUGUCCAAAACCUUUGUAGGAACUCUUUUCCAACCCUUUCGGAGUUAGUUAGACCAAAAAAAAAAACGAAAAAUGAAAAAAAAAUAUUUGGGGUUUUCGGGCUUCCUGAAGGUAAUACCCGGGUAUUAGGUUAUGGGCUAGGGUGAGGUUUAAGGUUUUUGGAGUUAGAGUUAAAAUUACUGUCCAAAACCUUUUUAGGAACAUGUUUCAGACCUUUUGGAAUUAGUUAGACCAAAAAAUAACGAAAAAUGAAAAAAAAAAAAAUUUGGGGUGUUCGGCCUUCCUGAAGGUAAUACCCCGGUAUUAGGUUUUGGGGCUAGGGUAAGGUUUAAGGUUUUUGGCGUUAGGGUUAAAAUCACUGUCCAAAACCUUUGUAGGAACUCUUUUCCAACCUUUUGGAGUCAGUUAGACCAAAAAAAAACCAAAAAUGAAAAAAAAAAUAUUUGGGGUCUUCGGGGUUCCUGAAGGUAAUACCCGGGUAUAGGGUUUUUGGGCUAGGGUAAGGUUUAAGGUUUUUGGCGUUAGGGUUAAAAUCACUGUCCAAAACCUUUGUAGGAACUCUUUUCCAACCAUUUGGAGUUAGUUAGACCAAAAAAAAUGAUUAAUUAAAAAAAAAAUAUUUGGGGUGUUCGGGCUUCCUUAUUAGUAUUAGUUUAUGGGGCUUUGGAAAGGUUUAAGGUUUUUGGCAUUAGGGUUAAAAUCACUGUCCAAAACCUUUAUAGGAACUCUUUUCCAACCUUUUGGAGUUAGUUAGACCAAAAAAAAAUGAAAAAGGAAAAAAAAAAUGGGGGUUUUCGGGCUUCCUGAAGGUAAUACCCGGGUAUUAGGUUAUGAGGCUUUGGAAAGGUUUAAGGUUUUUGGCGUUAGGGUUAAAAUCACUGUCCAAAACCUUUGUAGGAACUCUUUUCCAACCUUUUGGAGUUAGUUAGACCAAAAAAAAAGAAAAAAGAAAAAAAAAUAUUUGGCGUCUUCGGGCUUCCUGAAGGUAAUACCCGAGUGUCAGGUUUUGGGGCUAGGGUAAGGUUUAAGGUUUUUGGCGUUAGGGUUAAAAUCACUGUCCAAAAUCUUUGUAAGAACUCUUUUCCAACCUUUUGGAGUUAGUAAGACCAAAAAAAAAAGAACAAAGAAAAAAAAAAUUGGGGGUUUUCGGGCUUCCUGAUGGUAUUACCCGGGUAUUAGGUUUUGGGGCUAGGGUAAGGUUUAAGGUAUUUGGCGUUAGGGUUAAAAUCACUGUCCAAAACCUUUGUAGGAACUCUAUUCAAACCUUUUGGAGUUAGUUAGACCAAGAAAAAAAGGAAAAAUGAAAAAAAUAUAUUUGUGGUUUUCAGCCUUCCUGAAGGUAAUACCCGGGUAUUAGGUUUUGGGGCUAGGGUAAGGUUUAAGGUUUUUGGCGUUAGAGUUAAAAUCACUGUCCAAAAAGUUUAUAGGAACUCUUUUCCAACCUUUUGGAGUUAGUUAGACCAAAAAAAAUAAAAAUAAAAAAUAUAUAUUUGGGGUGAUCGGGCUUCCUGAAGGUAAUACCUGGGUAUUAGGUUAUGGGGCUAGGGUAAGUUUGAAGGUUUUUGGCGUUAGGGUUAAAAUCACUGUCCAAAACCUUUGUAGGAACUCUUUUCCAAACCUUUUGGAAUGAGUUAGACCAAAAAAAAAUGAAAAAUGAAAAAAACAUAUUUGGGGUGUUCGUGCUUCCUGAAGGUAAUACCCGAGUAUUAGGUUAUGGGGCUUUGGAAAGGUUAAAGGUUUUUGGCGUUAGGGGUUAAAAUCACUGCCAAAACCUUUGUAGGAACUCUAUUCAAACCUUUUGGAGUUAGACCAAAAAAAAAUGAAAAUGAAAAAAAAAAUAUUUGGGGUGUUCGGGCUUCCUGAAGGUAAUACCUGGUUUAGGGUAUGGGGCUAGGGUAAGGUUUAAGGUUUUUUGGCGUUAGGGUUAAAAUCACUGUCCAAAACCUUUGUAGGAACUCUUUUCCAACCUUUUGGAGUUAGUUAGACCAAAAAAAAAUGAAAAAUUAAAAAAAAAUAUUUCGGGUUUUCAGUCUUCCUUAAGGUAAUACCCGGCUAUUAGGUAAUGGGGCUAUGGUAAGGUUUAAGGUUUUUGGCGUUAGGGUUAAAAUCACUGUCCAAAACCUUUGUAGGAACUCUUUUCCAACCUUUUGGAGUUAGUUAGACCAAAAAACAAAUGAAAAAUAAAAAUAAAAUAUAUAUAUUUGGGGUGUUCGGGCUUCCUGAAGGUAAUACCCGGGUAUAAGGUUAUGGGGCUAGGGUAAGGUUUAAGGUUUUUGGUGUUAGGGUUAAAAUCACUGUCCAAAACCUUUGUAGGAACUCUUUUCCAACCUUUUGGAGUUAGUUAGACCAAAAAAAAUGAAAAUGAAAAAAAAAUAUUUGGGGUGUUCGGGCUUCCUGAAGGUAAUACCCGGGUAUCAGGUUUUGGGGCUAGGUUAAGGUUUAAGGUUUUUGGCGUGAGGGUUAAAAUCACUGUGCAAAACCUUUGUAGGAACUCUUUUCAAACCUUUUGGAAUUAGUUAGACCAAAAAAAAAUAAAAAAUGAAAAAAAAAUAUUUGUGGUUUUCGGGCCUCCUGAAGGUAAUACCCGGGUAUAAGGUUUUGGGGCUAGGUUAAGGUUUAAGGUUUUUGGCGUUAGGGUUAAAAUCACUGUCCAAAACCUUUGUAGGAACUCUUUUCCAACCUUUUGGAGUUAGCUAGACCAAAAAAAAAAUGAAAAAUGAAAAAUAAAAAUGGGGGUUUUCGGGCUUCCUGAAGGUAAUACCCGGGUAUCAGGUUAUGGGGCUAGGGUAAAGUUAAAGGUUUUUGGCGUUAGGGUUAAAAUCACUGUCCAAAACCUCUGUAGGAACUCUUUUCCAACCUUUUGGAAUUAGUUAGACCAAAAAAAAAAGAAAAAUGGAAAAAACAUAUUUGGGGUGUUCGGGCUUCCUGAAGGUAAUACCCGGGUAUUAGGUUUUGGGGCUUUGGAAACGUUUGAGUCUUUCGGCGUUAGGGUAAAAAUCACUGUCCAAAACCUUUGUAGGAACUCUAUUCAAACCUUUUGGAGUUAGUAAGACCAAAAAAAAUAAAAAUAAAAAUUUUUAUUUGGGGUGUUCGGGCUUCCUGAAGGUAAUACCCGGGUAUUAGGUUUUGGGGCUAGGGUAAGGUUUAAGGUUUUUGGCGUUAGGGUUAAAAUCACUGUCCAAAACCUUUGUAGGAACAUGUUUCAGACCUUUUGGAGUUAGUAAGACCAAAAAAAAAAGAACAAAGAAAAAAAAAAAUUGGGGGUUUUUGGGCUUCCUGAUGGUAAUACCCAGGUAUUAGGUUUUGGGGCUAGGGUAAGGUUUAAGGUAUUUGGCGUUAGGGUUAAAAUCACUGUCCAAAACCUUUGUAGGAACUCUAUUCAAACCUUUUGGAGUUAGUUAGACCAUAAAAAUGUAAAAUGAAAAAAAUAUUUGAGGUUUUCGGGUUUCCUGAAGGUAAUACCCGGGUAUUUGGUUAUGGGGCUAUGGUUAGGUUUAAGGUUUUUGGCGUUAGGGUUAAAAUCACUGUCCAAAACCUUUGUAGGAACUCUUUUCCAACCUUUUGGAGUUAUUUAGACCAAAAAAAAAUGAAAAAUUAAAAAAAAAUAUUUCGGGUUUUCAGUCUUCCUUAAGGUAAUACCCGGCUAUUAGGUAAUGGGGCUAUGGUAAGGUUUAAGGUUUUUGGCGUGAGGGUUAAAAUCACUGUCCAAAACCUUUGUAGGAACUCUUUUCCAACCUUUUGGAGUGAGUUAGACCAAAAAACAAAUGAAAAAUAAAAAUAAAAUAUAUAUAUUUGGGGUGUUCGGGCUUCCUGAAGGUAAUACCCGGGUAUAAGGUUAUGGGGCUAGGGUAAGGUUUAAGGUUUUUGGUGUUAGGGUUAAAAUCACUGUCCAAAACCUUUGUAGGAACUCUUUUCCAACCUUUUGGAGUUAGUUAGACCAAAAAAAAUGAAAAAUGAAAAAAAAAUAUUUGGGGUGUUCGGGCUUCCUGAAGGUAAUACCCGGGUAUCAGGUUUUGGGGCUAGGUUAAGGUUUAAGGUUUUUGGCGUGAGGGUUAAAAUCACUGUGCAAAACCUUUGUAGGAACUCUUUUCCAACCUUUUGGAAUUAGUUAGACCAAAAAAAAAUAAAAAAUGAAAAAAAAAUAUUUGUGGUUUUCGGGCCUCCUGAAGGUAAUACCCGGGUAUAAGGUUUUGGGGCUAGGUUAAGGUUUAAGGUUUUUGGCGUUAGGGUUAAAAUCACUGUCCAAAACCUUUAUAAGAACUCUUAUCCAACCUUUUGGAUUUAGUUUGACCAAAAAAAGAAAAAUGAAAAUAAAAUAUUUGGGGUGUUCGGGCUUCCUGAAGGUAAUACCCGGGUAUUAGGUUAUGGGGCUAGGGUAAGGUUUAAGGUUUUUGGCGUGAGGGUUAAAAUCACUGUCCAAAACCUUUUUAGGAACAUGUUUCAGACCUUUUGGAAUUAGUUAGACCAAAAAAAAAACGAAAAAUGGAAAAAAAAUAUUUGGGGUCUUCGGGCUUCCUGAAGGUAAUACCCGGGUAUUAGGUUUUGGGGCUAGGGUAAGGUUUAAGUUUUUUGGCGUGAGGGUUAAAAUCACUGUCCAAAACCUUUGUAGGAACUCUUUUCCAACCCUUUCGGAGUUAGUUAGACCAAAAAAAAACGAAAAAUGAAAAAAAAAUAUUUGGGGUUUUCGGGCUUCCUGAAGGUAAUACCCGGGUAUUAGGUUAUGGGCUAGGGUAAGGUUUAAGGUUUUUGGCGUUAGAGUUAAAAUUACUGUCCAAAACCUUUUUAGGAACAUGUUUCAGACCUUUUGGAAUUAGACCAAAAAAUAACGAAAAAUGAAAAAAAAAAAAAUUUGGGUUGUUCGGCCUUCCUGAAGGUAAUACCCGGGUUUUAGGUUUUGGGGUUAGGGUAAGGUUUAAGGUUUUUGGCGUUAGGGUUAAAAUCACUGUCCAAAACCUUUGUAGGAACUCUUUUCCAACCUUUUGGAGUUAGUUAGACCAAAAAAAAACCAAAAAUGAAAAAAAAAAUAUUUGGGGUCUUCGGGGUUCCUGAAGGUAAUGCCCGGGUGUUGGGUUUUUGGGCUAGGGUAAGGUUUAAGGUUUUUGGCGUUAGGGUUAAAAUCACUGUCCAAAACCUUUGUAGGAACUCUUUUCCAACCAUUUGGAGUUAGUUAGACCAAAAAAAAUGAUUAAUUAAAAAAAAUAUAUUUGGGGUGUUCGGGCUUCCUUAUUAGUAUUAGUUUAUGGGGCUUUGGAAAGGUUUAAGGUUUUUGGCAUUAGGGUUAAAAUCACUGUCCAAAACCUUUAUAGGAACUCUUUUCCAACCUUUUGGAGUUAGUUAGACCAAAAAAAAAAUGAAAAAGGAAAAAAAAAUUGGGGGUUUUCGGGCUUCCUGAAGGUAAUACCCGGGUAUAAGGUUAUGGGGCUAGGGUAAGGUUUAAGGUUUUUGGUGUUAGGGUUAAAAUCACUGUCCAAAACCUUUGUAGGAACUCUUUUCCAACCUUUUGGAGUUAGUUAGACCAAAAAAAAAUGAAAAAUGAAAAAAAAAAUAUUUGGGGUGUUCGGGCUUCCUGAAGGUAAUACCCGGGUAUUAGGUUUUGGGGCUUUGGAAACGUUUGAGUCUUUCGGCGUUAGGGUAAAAAUCACUGUCCAAAACCUUUGUAGGAACUCUUUUCCAACCUUUUGGAGUUAGUAAGACCAAAAAAAAUAAAAAUAAAAAUUUUUAUUUGGGGUGUUCGGGCUUCCUGAAGGUAAUACCCGGGUAUUAGGUUAUGGGGCUAGGGUAAGGUUUAAGGUUUUUGGCGUUAGGAUUAAAAUCACUGUCCAAAACCUUUUUAGGAACAUGUUUCAGACCUUUUGGAGUUAGUAAGACCAAAAAAAAAAGAACAAAGAAAAAAAAAAUUGGGGGUUUUCGGGCUUCCUGAUGGUAAUACCCGGGUAUUAGGUUUUGGGGCUAGGGUAAGGUUUAAGGUAUUUGGCGUUAGGGUUAAAAUCACUGUCCAAAACCUUUGUAGGAACUCUAUUCAAACCUUUUGGAGUUAGUUAGACCAUAAAAAUGUAAAAUGAAAAAAAUAUUUGAGGUUUUCGGGUUUCCUGAAGGUAAUACCCGGGUAUUUGGUUAUGGGGCUAUGGUUAGGUUUAAGGUUUUUGGCGUUAGGGUUAAAAUCACUGUCCAAAACCUUUGUAGGAACUCUUUUCCAACCUUUUGGAGUUAUUUAGACCAAAAAAAAAUGAAAAAUGAAAAAAAAAUAUUUGGGGUUUUCAGUCUUCCUGAAGGUAAUACCCGGCUAUUAGGUAAUGGGGCUAUGGUAAGGUUUAAGGUUUUUGGCGUUAGGGUUAAAAUCACUGUCCAAAACCUUUGUAGGAACUCUUUUCCAACCUUUUGGAGUGAGUUAGACCAAAAAACAAAUGAAAAAUAAAAAUAAAAUAUAUAUAUUUGGGGUGUUCGGGCUUCCUGAAGGUAAUACCCGGGUAUAAGGUUAUGGGGCUAGGGUAAGGUUUAAGGUUUUUGGUGUUAGGGUUAAAAUCACUGUCCAAAACCUUUGUAGGAACUCUUUUCCAACCUUUUGGAGUUAGUUAGACCAAAAAAAAUGAAAAAUGAAAAAAAAAUAUUUGGGUUGUUCGGGCUUUCUGAAGGUAAUACCCGGGUAUCAGGUUUUGGGGCUAGGUUAAGGUUUAAGAUAUUUGGUGUUAGGGUUAAAAUCACUGUCCAAAACCUUUGUAGGAACUCUAUUCAAACCUUUUGGAGUUAGUUAGACCAUAAAAAUGUAAAAUGAAAAAAAUAUUUGAGGUUUUCGGGUUUCCUGAAGGUAAUACCCGGGUAUUUGGUUAUGGGGCUAUGGUUAGGUUUAAGGUUUUUGGCGUUAGGGUUAAAAUCACUGUCCAAAACCUUUGUAGGAACUCUUUUCCAACCUUUUGGAGUUAUUUAGACCAAAAAAAAAUGAAAAAUUAAAAAAAAAUAUUUCGGGUUUUCAGUCUUCCUUAAGGUAAUACUCGGCUAUUAGGUAAUGGGGCUAUGGUAAGGUUUAAGGUUUUUGGCGUUAGGGUUAAAAUCACUGUCCAAAACCUUUGUAGGAACUCUUUUCCAACCUUUUGGAGUGAGUUAGACCAAAAAACAAAUGAAAAAUAAAAAUAAAAUAUAUAUAUUUGGGGUGUUCGGGCUUCCUGAAGGUAAUACCCGGGUAUAAGGUUAUGGGGCUAGGGUAAGGUUUAAGGUUUUUUGGCGUUUGGGUUAAAAUCACUGUCCAAAACCUUUGUAGGAACUCAUUUCCAACCUUUUGGAGUUAGACCAAAAAAAAAUGAAAAAUGAAAAAAAUAUAUUUGGGUUGUUUGUACUUCCUGACGGUAAUUCCCGGGUAUUAGGUUAUGGGGCUAGGGUAAGGUUUAAGGUUUUUGGCGUGAGGGUUAAAAUCACUGUCCAAAACCUUUGUAGGAACUCUUUUCCAACCUUUUGGAGUUAGUUAGACCAAAAAAAAAGAUUAAAGAAAAAAAAAUAGUUGGGGAUUUCGCGCUUCCUGAAGGUAAUACCCGGGUAUUAGGUUAUGGGGCUAUGGUAAGGUUUAAGGUUUUUAGUGUUAGGGUUAAAAUCACUGUCCAAAACCUUUGUAGGAACUCUUUUCCAACCUUUUGGAGUUAGUUAGACCAAAAAAAAACGAAAAAUGAAAUAAAUUUUUUUUUGGGGUGUAAAGGGUUCCUGAAGGUAACACCCUUGUAUUAGGUUAUGGGGCUAGGGUAAGGUUUAAGGUUUUUUGGCGUUAGGGUUAAAAUCACUGUCCAAAACCUUUGUAGGAACUCUUUUCCAACCUUUUGGAGUAAGUUAGACCAAAAAAAAAUGAAAAAUGAAAAAAAAAUAUUUGUGGUUUUCGGGCCUCCUGAAGGUAAUACCCGGGUAUCAGGUUUUGGGGCUAGGUUAAGGUUUAAGGUUUUUGGCGUUAGGGUUAAAAUCACUGUCCAAAACCUCUAUACGAACUCUUUUCCAACCUUUUGGAUUUAGUUUGACCAAAAAAAAAGAAAAAUGAAAAUAAAAUAUUUGGGGUGUUCGGGCUUCCUGAAGGUAAUACCCCGGUAUUAGGUUUUGGGGCUAGGGUAAAGUUUAAGUUUUUUGGCGUGAGGGUUAAAAUUACUGUCCAAAACCUUUUUAGGAACAUGUUUCAGACCUUUUGGAAUUAGUUAGACCAAAAAAUAACGAAAAAUGAAAAAAAAAAAAUUGGGGGUGUUCGGCCUUCCUGAAGGUAAUACCCCGGUAUUAGGUUUUGGGGCUAGGGUAAGGUUUAAGGUUUUUGGCGUUAGGGUUAAAAUCACUGUCCAAAACGUUUAUAGGAACUCUUUUCCAACCUUUUGGAGUUAGUUAGACCAAAAAAAAUAAAAAUAAAAAAUAUAUAUUUGGGGUGAUCGGGCUUCCUGAAGGUAAUACCUGGGUAUUAGGUUAUGGGGCUAGGGUAAGUUUGAAGGUUUUUGGCGUUAGGGUUAAAAUCACUCUCCAAAACCUUUGUAGGAACUCUUUUCCAACCUUUUGGAAUGAGUUAGACCAAAAAAAAAUGAAAAAUGAAAAAAACAUAUUUGGGGUGUUCGUGCUUCCUGAAGGUAAUACCCGAGUAUAAGGUUAUGGGGCUUUGGAAACGUUAAAGGUUUUUGGCGUUAGGGGUUAAAAUCACUGCCAAAACCUUUGUAGGAACUCUAUUCAAACCUUUUGGAGUUAGACCAAAAAAAAAUGAAAAUGAAAAAAAAAUAUUUGGGGUGUUCGGGCUUCCUGAAGGUAAUACCUGGUUUAGGGUAUGGGGCUAGGGUAAGGUUUAAGGUUUUUUGGCGUUAGGGUUAAAAUCACUGUCCAAAACCUUUUUAGGAACUUGUUUCAGACCUUUUGGAGUUGGUUAAACCAAAAAAAAAAUGUAAAAUGAAAAAAAAAUAUUUGGGGUGUUCAGGCUUCCUGAAGGUAAUACCCGGGUAUAAGGUUUUGGGGCUAGGGUAAGGUUUAAGGUUUUUGGUGUUAGGGUUAAAAUCACUGUCCAAAACCUUUGUAGGAACUCUUUUCAAACCUUUUGGAGUUAGUUAGACCAAAAAAAAAUGUAAAAUGAAAAAAAAACAUAUUUGGGGUGUUCGGGCUUCCUGAAGUUAAUACCCGGGUAUUAGGUUAUGGGGCUUUGGAAAGGUUUAAGGUUUUUGGCGUUAGGGUUAAAAUCACUGUCCAAAACCUUUGUAGGAACUCUAUUCAAACCUUUUGGAGUCAGACAAAAAAAAAAUUAAAAUGAAAAAAAAUUAUUUGGGGUUUUCGGGCUUCCUGAAGGUAAUACCCGAGUAUUAGGUUUUUGGGCUAGGGUAAGGUUUAAGUUUUUUGGCAUAAGGGUUAAAAUCACUGUCCAAAACCUUUGUAGGAACUCUUUUCCAACCUUUUGGAGUUAGCUAGACCAAAAAAAAAAUGAAAAAUGAAAAAUAAAAAUGGGGGUUUUCGGGCUUCCUGAAGGUAAUACCCGGGUAUCAGGUUUUGGGGCUAGGGUAAGGUUUAAGGUUUUUGGCGUUAGGGUUAAAAUCACUGUCCAAAACCUUUGUAGGAACUCUUUUCCAACCUUUUGGAAUUAGUUAGACCAAAAAAAAAAUGAAAAAUGGAAAAAACAUAUUUGGGGUGUUCGGGCUUCCUGAAGGUAAUACCCGGGUAUUAGGUUUUGGGGCUUUGGAAACGUUUGAGUCUUUCGGCGUUAGGGUAAAAAUCACUGUCCAAAACUUUUGUAGGAACUGUUUUCCAACCUUUUGGAGUUAGUAAGACAAAAAAAAAUAAAAAUAAAAAUUUUUAUUUGGGGUGUUCGGGCUUCCUGAAGGUAAUACCCGGGUAUUAGGUUAUGGGGCUAGGGUAAGGUUUAAGGUUUUUGGCGUUAGGAUUAAAAUCACUGUCCAAAACCUUUUUAGGAACAUGUUUCAGACCUUUUGGAGUUAGUAAGACCAAAAAAAAAGAACAAAGAAAAAAAAAAUUGGGGGUUUUCGGGCUUCCUGAUGGUAAUACCCGGGUAUUAGGUUUUGGGGCUAGGGUAAGGUUUAAGGUAUUUGGCGUUAGGGUUAAAAUCACUGUCCAAAACCUUUGUAGGAACUCUAUUCAAACCUUUUGGAGUUAGUUAGACCAUAAAAAUGUAAAAUGAAAAAAAUAUUUGAGGUUUUCGGGUUUCCUGAAGGUAAUACCCGGGUAUUUGGUUAUGGGGCUAUGGUUAGGUUUAAGGUUUUUGGCGUUAGGGUUAAAAUAACUGUCCAAAACCUUUGUAGGAACUCUUUUCCAACCUUUUGGAGUUAUUUAGACCAAAAAAAAAUGAAAAAUGAAAAAAAAUAUUUCGGGUUUUCAGUCUUCCUGAAGGUAAUACCCGGCUAUAAGGUUAUGGGGCUAGGGUAAGGUUUAAGGUUUUUGGCGUUAGGGUUAAAAUCACUGUCCAAAACCUUUGUAGGAACUCUUUUCCAACCUUUUGGAGUGAGUUAGACCAAAAAACAAAUGAAAAAUAAAAAUAAAAUAUAUAUAUUUGGGGUGUUCGGGCUUCCUGAAGGUAAUACCCGGGUAUAAGGUUAUGGGGCUAGGGUAAGGUUUAAGGUUUUUGGUGUUAGGGUUAAAAUCACUGUCCAAAACCUUUGUAGGAACUCUUUUCCAACCUUUUGGAGUUAGUUAGACCAAAAAAAAUGAAAAAUGAAAAAAAAAUAUUUGGGGUGUUCGGGCUUCCUGAAGGUAAUACCCGGGUAUCAGGUUAUGGGGCUUUGGAAACGUUUGAGUCUUUCGGCGUUAGGGUAAAAAUCACUGUCCAAAACCUUUGUAGGAACUCUUUUCCAACCUUUUGGAGUUAGUAAGACAAAAAAAAAUAAAAAUAAAAAUAUUUGGGGUGUUCGGGCUUCCUGAAGGUAAUACCCGGGUAUUAGGUUAUGGG